CUGGCUCCAACAUCCCAGGGAAUUGUGUCACUCCCAUUGAGCAGCUGUGGGGCCCUCUCCCACAUGGCCCAGGUCCACCACUCUGUCAAAGGUCGCACAGCCCAGACAAAAACAGGACACAGCAGUGUGUGAAUGAGCCGGGCUUUCUCCUUCCCUCCACGUAAUAGAAGGUGCCUGAGGUUGUUGAAACACAGUCCAUUUCUCCUGGGAAUGACAAGAAUUUGAGGGAUGCUGACUUUCAAGGAAUACUGCAUGACAGGCAUCAAGAUAAACCUGAUGAAGAAAACAUAGGCCAGAAUCUGGGAAUCGGGAGCAAAGUAAUACAGCUUCGGGGACAGGCACGUAAUGAGGUCAUGAUGUAGGAGACUCCCUGCAGGACUGGCGGCCCCUGUUCCCUGGGUUGUUCUGGCUCUUUCAGAACCUGACCCUGGAACAGGACUGAGCAGGUGCCUGUGUGCACAGAAGACCUUGUGUGAGUCCUUUGGUACCACGUUUGCUGCACGAAUGUCUGAGACACCUCACAGUCGCUUGGUUCAGCCUCUCCCUCCUCUCUCCGCUGGGGAACAUCAUCCCUCAUCACUGGAAGAAAUUACAAGGAUUGUGUAAACAAUUACAAGUAUUCUACAAACAGUGAGCAUGCUGGUUUGGCCCAUCUAUUUGUAAGAAAAAACAUGGGGUUUUAUGGCAAUGAGUUACAGCUCUGAACUCCUGGCACAAUCACAAAUAUCCUCAGCACAAAACACCAAGUGUAUGUCUCCCUUCUGUCCUAAAAGGGUAGUGUGUGCAACUCAUUGAUGGGGCUCCCAUUUCAUUUUUGAAAGAUCUGCUCACUGAUAAUACCAGUGAGAUUGUUUUCACCAAGAUCUAUGACAUACAAAUAAACUGUUGCUUCAAAAGCAUCUAGCGGCCAAUUGCUGAUCAUCCAAGUGACAAAAAGCUAACUACUUCAUUCCUAAUUAUUACUGCACACUGCUCACAAGCAUCUCUCAAUCCGUUACCAAUUUUAUCCUUGACUCCUGAUGAAACACAAAUCUCUUUGAUCAGGUUAUCACAUGGCAUAGGUGCAAUGGUGGUUGCUUCAGGGGAAAUAAUUUAAUUCAAGUACUUUGCAGUUUGCUAGGUGCCCUGGGGCAUAGUAUUCUUUGGGCCUCCUAAGGUUCUGAUGGUGAUGAACUGAUUUAACGUAUAGAAUAGUUUUUAAAUGUGAAGUGCUACAGGGACCACUAUGCAGGGAGCUGAAGGGCUAUUGAGCUGGACACUUGAGCAUUGGCUGCAUUGAAUGAUAAAUAUUGCACAAUAUUUCUCUUCCUCAAAAUAGAAAAUGACAAUGGAAAACUUUUAAUAAUGUCAACAUUGGUGACUAGAAAUACAUAUGUGCCUCCUUAUGAAAGCAGGGGUGGUGACUGAAUAGAAUUGUUUUGUUUUUAGAGAACGAUGUUUUUCUUUUUGUUUUUUCUUCUUUUAUAGUAUUUUACUUAAAAAUCCAAGUAAUAGUAUUCUACUGUAUUGCCUUGAAGAAGUAAAUUGAGAAAAGUCAGAACACUUAUGUAUUUUUAUUUAAAAACGAACGUUUUAGUCAGCACCCAAUGCAACAAAAGCAAACUAGAAAUUGCAUGUCAGCAAUAAAAUAACCAGGUUCUUAGAAGGGCGGCCUAAGUCAGCUCUACAGAUUCUCACCUUUGCUGAUUUAGCCGCAUGGAACCUAAUUAAUGGGUAGAUUAUACAUUUGCUCAACAAGUAUUAAUGGAGGUACUUGAAUGAACUGACAGGGCCCAGCCUUAUGCAGUGGUCCUCAAAGGCUUGUUCAUAUCUUGAUUUGGACAUCAAAAGAGAAGGCCGUCGCAGGAAAUCGGAGACCUUGAGCCUUUACAUGUCCACCUCAGAGACUAGACGUAACUGCCUGCUAGAAAUAGUGGCGUGAGGAAUGCGAAAGGGAGAAGUUGUUUGAAGGAUCUCAGACUCCAUGCCGUGUACUUUGAAGAUGAGCUUUAGAAAUUGCACAUCAAUAGUUACUGCAGAAGGAGCAAUAGGAACUGAGAACAUCUCACGCGGCUUAGUGCGACCGAUAAACACCAGCUGAAGCUUGUGUCCUGCACAAUAAACCUUAUUUGCUGAUCUCUGAAGGUGCAAAGCAGGGCACUACUGCUCAGCAGCCUCUGAUGACGCAAAUUGCUCAAAUGUCGGUGUGCUCUCAUGAACAGAAACGAUGGCACGGUGGGUCCUGGUCUCAAGACUUCCUCUCAAUGAUUCAGAGGUCUUGGGGGUUUUUUGUCUGAAUAUCAGGCAAAGAGGAAGGACGGCUACAAUGGAGGAGUCUCCUACCACGCUUGUGGUCGUCACUGUAGUGCUCAGUUGAAUGGUGUGUCCAUUGGGGUUGGAGUCCCCAUCCUGUUCUGGGUCCUGGCCCCCCACAGGCUCCAGGGACAUAACCCUUCCAGUUCAGGAUCAUGUGCUGGGGCACUGUUCCCUGAGGUGGGACUCUGGGCUGUAACAGCUGCUUUUGAAGCAUGUUCCAGCUUCAACCACGUGCUUGGACGACACCAGCUCUUCCCACAUACUCUUCCCCAGCUCUUGUGUUGAGUUUGGCUUCCACCUUCCUCCAGCUGGGUCUCGCUAUGUUGCCCAAGCCAUUCUGGAGCUCCUGCGCUUAAGUGAUCCUCCUGCCUCAGCCUCCCAAGUAACUGGAAUUAUAAAUGUGAGCCACUGUGCCCAGCAAUUACAAAAUUUUUGGAAUGCAAUUGGGAAGUACAGCUGAAAAACUUCAGCAACGUGGGCUGUUUGAUUGUACAAUCGCACUUCUUGGAAUUUAUCCUACAGAAAUCAGUAGUCAAGUUCACAAAAACUGACAAUAGCCAUUACAGAGAAGCAGAAGAAAGGGAAAUAAAAACAUUCAAACCUACCAACAGGAGAUUGGACAAAUAAAUCAUGUUAUAACUAUACAAUGGGCUAUUAUGUAACCAUUAAAAUGAUCAUCUAUUCUAGAUCUAUACUUAUUGCAAUAUAAUAAUAACCAUAAUAUAUAGUUAUUUGAUAAAAGAAGGUAGCACAUGUGAGGUAGUACAUCUCAUUUCUAUUAGAAA
rnacentral:lncRNA from 1 species